UAACGAGCGCAACCCUUAUCUUUANUUGCCAGCACUUCGGGUGGGAACUAUAAAGAGACUGCCGGUGAUAAACCGGAGGAAAGGCGGGGACGACGUCAAGUCAUCAUGGCCCUUACGACCAGGGCUACACACGUGCUACAAUGGGAAGGACAAAGGGUUGCUAAGCCGCGAGGUGGUGCUAAUCUCAUAAACCUUUUCGUAGUCCGGAUCGGAGUCUGCAACUCGACUCCGUGAAGUCGGAAUCGCUAGUAAUCGUAGAUCAGAACGCUACGGUGAAUACGUUCCCGGGUCUUGUACACACCGCCCGUCAUACCAUGGGAGUGGGUUGCAAAAGAAGUGGGUAGCUUAUUUGGGCGCUCACCACUUUGUGAUUCAUGACUGGGGUAAAGUCGUAACAAGGUAACC
rnacentral:rRNA from 1 species